rnacentral:rRNA from 1 species
UGGGUUCCCGUAGCAGCGGCGAGCGAAGCGGGAAGAGCUCAAAUUUAUAAUCUGGCACCUUCGGUGUCCGAGUUGUAAUCUCUAGAAAUGUUUUCCGCGUUGGACCGCACACAAGUCUGUUGGAAUACAGCGGCAUAGUGGUGAGACCCCCGUAUAUGGGGCGGACGCCCAGCGCUUUGUGAUACAUUUUCGAAGAGUCGAGUUGUUUGGGAAUGCAGCUCAAAUUGGGUGGAAAAUUCCAUCUAAAGCUAAAUAUUGGCGAGAGACCGAUGGCAAACAGGUACCGGGAGGGAAAGAUGAAAAGCACUUUGGAAAGAGAGUUAACAGUACGUGAAAUUGUUGGAAGGAAAACGCUUGAAGUCAGACUUGCUUGCCGAGCAAUCGGUUUGCAGGCCAGCAUCAGUUUUCCGGGAUGGAUAAUGGUAAAAAAAAAGGUAGCAGUUUCGGCUGUGUUAUAGCUCUCUGCUGGAUACAUCUGGGGGGACUGAGGAACGCAGUGGGCCCUUUGCAGGGGGUUUCGAACUCUCUUCCACACUUAGGAAGGCUGGGUGGAAUGGCUUUUAAACGACCCGUCUAAAAAAAAAGGAACACAAA